CGCGUAGGCGGGAUGGCAAGUCAGUCGUGAAAUCUCUCGGCUCAACCGAGAAACGUCGGCUGAUACUGCCGUUCUUGAGGGAUGCAGAGGAGACUGGAAUUCCCGGUGUAGCGGUGAAAUGUGUAGAGAUCGGGAGGAACACCGGUGGCGAAGGCGGGUCUCUGGGCAUUUCCUGACGCUGAGGCGCGAAAGCGUGGGAGCAAACG
rnacentral:rRNA from 1 species